GAUGAACGCUGGCGGUCUGCUUAACACAUGCAAGUCGAACGAACUCUUCGGAGUGAGUGGCGGACGGGUGAGUAACGCGUGAGAAUCUGCCUGUGGGUCGGGGACAACCACUGGAAACGGUGGCUAAUACCGGAUGAGCCGAAAGGUAAAAAAUUUAUUGCCCACAGAUGAGCUCGCGUCUGAUUAGCUAGUUGGUAAGGUAAAAGCGUACCAAGGCGACGAUCAGUAGCUGGUCUGAGAGGAUGAGCAGCCACACUGGGACUGAGACACGGCCCAGACUCCUACGGGAGGCAGCAGUGGGGAAUUUUCCGCAAUGGGCGAAAGCCUGACGGAGCAAGACCGCGUGGGGGAGGAAGGUUUUUGGAUCGUAAACCCCUUUUGUCAAGGAAGAAGUUCUGACGGUACUUGACGAAUAAGCCUCGGCUAACUCCGUGCCAGCAGCCGCGGUAAUACGGAGGAGGCAAGCGUUAUCCGGAAUGAUUGGGCGUAAGGCGUCUGUAGGUGGCCAGCUAAGUCUGCUGUUAAAGAUCACAGCUCAACUGUGGGAAGGCAGUGGAAACUGGCAAGCUAGAGGCUGGUAGGGGUAAAGGGAAUUCCCGGUGUA
rnacentral:rRNA from 1 species